rnacentral:lncRNA from 1 species
AUGCGCAAUUGGGCCUGACCUAUAGAAAGGAGCCUUUGAGCUUUGGGCAAGAGCCUUACCGAGAAGAAGAGAUGGAAGCAAGAAGGUCACCUCCUGUCUGUGUUGGAAAACAUACACACUGUUUAUAAAGAAGAUCUCUUCUAGGGGCUGAGGACCAACCACACCCAUAAUUGUAGGCAACAGAUGCCUUCCAACAGUCUCCAUUGGGCCUAGAAGACCCAAACCUCCAGAAUAAUCACUCAGUGAUGAACUUCGAUGUCAGGAGCGAACCUCCGGAAACAGUGGGGUUCCUCGAGGAAUACCUGAUGUGUUCUGAUGAGCAACCACAGGAGCCACGAGGAUAUCUUUGUCACUGUUCUUUUGCUGUGAGGAGACACCAUGACCACUGCACCUCUUAUAAAGGAAAACAUUUAAUUGGGGCUGCCUUACAGUUUCAGAGGUUUAGUCCAUUAUUGUCAUGGCAAGAAACAUGGCAACACGCAGGAGGACAUGGUGCUGCUGGAGGAGAUGAGAGUUGCACAUCUGGAUCCACAGGCAGCAGAAAGAGAACUGGCUAGAGCUUUUGCGACCUCAAGCCCCACCCCCUAGUUUCACAAUUCCUUCAACAAAGGCACGCCCACUCCAAGGCCCCACCUCCAAAUAGUGCCCCUUCCUCUGAGCGUAUAGGAGCCAUUUUCUGUCAAACCACCACAGUGGCGGACUGCCAGUCAGUCAUGGCAUGGUGGCAGUGCAGUGUUCCUCUGUAUACUCUUCCACCUGGAUGUCCUGGUGAUCACUCAUGAGUAUCGUUGACUGAACCUCUUCAUAAUAUCUGUAGAAAACCCUCCCUCUGAAAAUAAUGAUGGCCAUAUCAAACAGGCUCAUCUGGGACGUCCCCCAAGUCGUCACCAUGACCAGCUAUCUCUGGAGAGCUGGAAGCACAGUCUUUCUCUUCACUUCCUGGGCACUUUGUCACUUAAGCCACAGAACAGCCCUGGCACACCGCACUAGUUGUUGGCCUUUACUCUAACCCAGAGGGUCCACGCCCACUUUUAUGGACAAGUAGGAUGAUGUCACCUCUCCCCAAAUCUUCUUGGAGCCUGUGCAGAAACCAAAGUCUUCUCUCCCAAGCAAGCUGAAAACCAAAGCCGAGUGGAGCGCAAAUGCAUGUGGGGAGGAAGCGCGUCUACUCCAGUGUCUUCUGGCACCUGGCUCAGUCAGCCAGAGUCUUUUAAAUUGGGUUUUUAUUUUAAGCCUGUAUCAAGGAAACCUCCUUCCUGGAGCUAUUUUGGAUGGAGGACAUCCGUAAAGAACGAACAGAUACAACCUGUUUUUGAGGAACUCUCGUUUUGUGAGACUGAUUAAAAUGUACGUAGACUCACACAAAGAAACUUUGAAGGUGUAAUUCUUCCACGUCUUACAAAGUCCUUUUGAUUUUAAACAAGAAACUUCUAGAAUGAAGUGAUUUCCAUUUCUCUUUCAUGGAUAGUUAAAGUUUACAAUAGUGUUUCUUCCGAUAGUGCGUCGCAAGCAUGUCCAAGCACACGUCAAAGUUAAACAACGCACAUAGAAAAAUCCCUAUACCCCUUAUGCUGAUUCUUCCACUAACAAUUUGCCAACCUUGUCCUAUCUGUAGCUAUAUGUCUAUCUUGCUAUUUAUAAACGAUAGCAUUGCAAUUUUUAAGAAAUCAUUUUACGUUUUGGUGUAGACUAAGCAUCUCAUAUAGGAACUUUAAACAAAAAUAAACGGUAAAGGCUCUUUUU